CUCUUCCAACAGGAGAAACACUAUAAUCCUCUGUGUGCCUCAGGUAGCUCUAACCAAUCAGCAUAGCAAUCCAGGUUACAGAUAAAUAGUGAACAAUUUUUGGGUGGAACGUAUACUUUCUCAGCUGUAAUAGUGGACGCAUCCACAUUCUACAAGUCUCAGCAAGUUCCAGUUAAGACACAAAUGCCCUCCUCACACACCAGAAAAAGAAAACAGAGGACAUCUGCAGCCUCUAUGAUGCCACCUAAGUGGAAUGAGACUGGUGAAAAAGAAAGCAGCUUCCACCAUCUCACUGAAGAAGGGGUCAGUGCAGUCUCACCCUGGAUCGUCGUUCUAUGUUGAAUCAGAAUCAGAAUCUGCCUUAUUGGCCAGGUGUGUCGGACACACAAGGAAGAUAGAUAGAAGCCCGUGUAGCCUGGAGAACUUCUAGUCCUCCAGCACCACAGCAGCAGCUCCCCCUCGCCCCAUCUGUGGGCAUCAGCUUUUUAGUACAGAAGACCCAGUGACCAUCUCUCUGGAACUACAAGCUGCCACCCCAGCCUGCUCCAGCAUCACUAGGCCAGUGCAAAGUCCACCGCUGCCAGAUGUGUCUGUUGAAUGAGAAGACACAUUCUACAGAGACUGUUUU